AAGCUUGGAGGUGAGUGAGUGGCCCUGAGUUGGGUGCACUUAUGCCAUGUUCAGAUGCAUGCAGAUGUUGCAGGAGAGACUUAGGGUUAAGCUGAUCAUAACAGUAAAACUAAAAUAUAUUGAGUACUUAGCACGUGCCAACUACUCUUGUUAUUUUCUUAGUGGCUUAUGUGAAUCACAUCAUUUAAUCCUCACCACGGCCAUUUCGUUUUUUAAAUGGGGCUGGGCACGGUGGCUCACACCUGUGAUCCCAGCAUUUCGGAAGGCUGAGGCGGGCAGAUUGCCUGAGCUCAGGAGUUCCCGAGACCAGCCUGGGCAACAUGGUAAAAUGCCAUCUCUACAAAAAAUACCAAAAAAAUUAGCCAGGCAUGGUGUUACAUGCCUGUACUCACAGCUAAUUUAGGGGGCUGAGGUGGGAAGAUCGCUUGAGCCUGGGAGGUUAAGGCCACAGUGAGCCUAGAUCGUGCCACUGCACUGCAGUGGGGGCAACAGAGCAAGACCCUGUCUCCAAAAAAAAAAAAAAAAAAAGAAAGAAAAAAAGGAAAGAUUUAAAAAAAGGUAAAAAUUUUUAAAAUUUUGUCUUUUUCUGUUUCUUUACUUCAAAAAAAAAAAUUUAAAUUAAUUUUGAAUCACUCACAUGCAGAUUUUUUUUUUUUUUUUUUUGAGAUGAAGUCUCACUCUGUUUGUUGCCCAGGCUGGAGUGCAGUGGCAUGAUCUCAGCUCAUUGCAGCCUCUGCCUCCUGGGUUCAGGCGAUUUCCGGUGAAUUUUUGUACUUUUCAUAGAUAUGGAUUUCACCAUGUUGGCCAGGCUGGUCUUGAACUCUUGACCUCAAGUAAUCCGCCUGCUUUGGUCUCCCAAAGUGCUAGGGUUACAGGCAUGAGCCACCGCACCUGGCCACAUGCAGAUAUUCUUAAAGCACCUCUUUUGAACAAUCAGUCUCAUCCAGCCUUGUCAUUUUACAGCUGGGGAAACUGAGGCCCAGAGAGGACUGGGAUCUGGUCCUGGGACUCAGUGAGGUAAUAACUGAGUUGUGAUCAGAGUUUUGGCAAUGCCAGUGCUCAGUCAGCCUUCUAAGAUUUUUUCUUUUCUUUUUCUUCCACAUGAACUAUCACACAAUCUUCUAAAAUUUUCUUUUUUAAAACCCUAAAUAAUAAUGACAUUAAGUUUUCAAAUGGCUUCCACAUGGACGUGAUCUCAUUAGCAGUCCUCUGAGCUGUACUUUCCAUCUUUGGAAUGGGGAUGUCGAUGCCAGUGUCCAGGAGGUUAAGUGACUUGCCCGUAGUCCCGCAGCAAGUCAGUGGCUGGCCUCUAGCCCUGUAAACUGGGAUCUUAAUCUGAAAGAAACUGAAACAGUGGAAAGAACCUAGCUGCUGACUUGUCAUGUGACUGUGGGCCCUUCUUUCUCGGGCCUGGGUUUCCCCAGCUGUGGUAUGGGAAUGUAUAUCUUGUAUGUCUGUAUCAGCUUUUGCUGUUGAUGCUUUUUUUUUUCUUUUUCUUUUUUUUUUUUUUUGGAGAUGGAGUUUGCUCUUUCACCCAGGCUAGAGUGGAGUGAAGUGGCAUGAUCUCUGCUCACUGCAACCUGCUCCACUCUGCCCCGGGUUCAAGCGAUUCUCCUGCCUCAGCCUCCCGAGUAGCUGGGAUUAUAGGUGCCCGCCACCACGCCUGGCUAAUUUUUUUUUUUUUUCUGAGGCAGAAUUUCGCUCUUGUUGCCCAGGCUAGAGUGCAAUGGCGUGAUCUCAGCCCACCGCAACCUCCACCUCCCAGGUUCAAGCGAUUCUCCUGCCUCAGCCUCCUGAGUAUCUGGGAUUACAGGCUCAGGCCACCAUGCCCGGCUAAUUUUGUAUUUUUAGUAGAGACGGGGUUUCUCUAUCUUGGCCAGGCUGGUCUCAAACUCCUGACCUUAGGUGACCUGCCCACCUUGGUCCCCCAAAGUGCUGGGAUUACAGGCGUGAGCCACCGUGCCCAGCCUGUUGAUGCUUUAAAAAUGAAACUGUACAGGAGCUCCUCAAAUACAAAGCAGCAGGCUCUGGAUGAAGUGGGGAUGGGCCUAAUUUCGUUUGACAGCUCAAAGACAUCUACCCAUCCCAGGAACUUCAUCCAGGCUGGAGUGCAGUGGCGCGGUCUUGGCUCACUGCAGCCUCAACUUCCCAGGCUCAAGCCAUCCUCCCACCUCAGCCUCCUGAGUAGCUGGGACUACAGGACCACACCCGGCUAUUUUUUUGUUUUUGUUUUUGUUUUUUGUAGAGACAGGGUCUUGCUUUGUUAUGCAGGCUGGGAAACCAUAUGUUUUGUUUGUUUGUUUGUUUGUUUUGAGAGGGAGUCUCACUCUGUCUCCCAGGCUGGAGUGCAGUGGCAUGAUCUUGGCUCACUGCAACCUCUGCCUCCCAGGUUCAAGUGAUUCUCCUGCCCCAGCCUCCCGAGAAGCUGGGAUUACAGGCACAUGCCACACACUGAGCUAAUUUUUGUAUUUUUAGUAGAGAUGGGGUUUCACCACGUUAGCCAGGCUGGUCUUGAACUUCUGACCUCAAGUGAUCCACUCGCCUCAGCCUCCCAAAGUGCUGGGAUUACAGACAUGAGCCACCACGCCUGGCCAACCAUAUGAUUUUUAAGGCCCCUUGCUGGAAGAUCUGCCUUUAAGCUUCGGCAGGUUUCUGCCCAUCUUUUCCUACUGUCCCUGCUUGGGUGGCCUCUUGAGAAGGGUCAGGAGGGUUUUUUGAGUUGCUUAUGGCCCUAAAAGAACAGUGGUAGGGCUGAGGAAUCACAGACUGAUGGCAUCCUUGAGCUGGAAAGGCCACAGGAGCUGGCCAGCCCUGACUCCUUCAUGUACAGAUGAGGUAGCUGAGGCCUGUGAGAAGCAGGACCCUCCUCCCACCGACUCCCUGCCCAUGGUCACCCAGCAAGUCAAUGGUGAGGCCAGGCCUAGAACCUAUCAAGAGUUUUCCUUUCUUUUUGCACUCUUUUGUCAGAGUAAAACUCUGGGUCCUCCCAUGUGCUGCUGGGGAGCUGUAAAUUGGCAUAGCCAUUUAGGAGGGCGAUUUUGCAAUGUCUAUUAAACAUUCAAAAUGUGCCAAAUAUCUGUUGCCCCACAAUUUCCAUUCUGUGAAUUCAUGGUAUAACAAUAUUUUUAUAAGUGUUUUAAGACAAGUUCAAAUAUGUUUACUAUAACAUUGUGAUAGUGGUGAAAAAUUAGAAGCAUCCUCAAUGACCUUUAACAGUGGAUUAAUUAAGUGGAUGUGUGGUACGUCCACACUGUGGAAGAUUGUAGCUUUUAAAAAAAGAAUAGGGCCGGGCACUGUGGCUCACGCCUAUAGUCCCAACACUUUGGGAGGCCAAUGCAGGUGGAUCACCUGAGAUCAGGAAUUCAAGACCAACCUGGCCAACAUGGCGAAACCCCAUCUCUACUAAAAAUACAAAAAUUAGCUCAGUGUGGUGGCUCAUGCCUGUAAUCCCAGCCACUCGGGAGGCUGGCUGAGGCAGAAGAAUCGCUUGAACCCGGGAGUCAGGCUACAAUGAGCUGAGAUUGUGCCACUGCACUCCAGCCUGGGUGACACAGCGAGACUCUGUGUCAAAAAAAAAAAAAAAGAAUGGACCGGGUGCAGUGGCUCACACCUGUAGUCCCAGCACUUUGGGAAGCCAAGGCAGGCGGAUCGCUUGAGCCUAGAAGUUCAAGACCAGCCUGGGCAAUAUGCGAAACCCUGUCUCUACAUAAAAUACAAAACUUAACCAGGCAUAGUGGCAUGUGCCUGUAGUCACAACAACUUGGGAGGCUGAGAAGGGAGGAUCACCUGAGCCCAGGUAUUCAAGGAUACAGUGAUUUGUGAUUGUGCCACUGCACUCCAGCCUGUAUAACACAGUGAGACCCUGUCUCUAAAUAAAUAAAUAAAUAAAAAUGAAUAAAUAAAGAGAAAAGUAAAAUAUUAGCAAGACCUGUUUAUAUAGUGUGAUGCGAUUUGGAGGAAUUAUUUUUCAUUUGUCUAUCUAGGACAAAGUCUAGAUAGAAGCCAGACUGUUCACAGUGAUCUCUAGGGGCAGGAUCAGUAGGGGGCCUUACUGCUUCUACUUUUAUUUAGAAAUGUUUGCUUUUUUGAAAAAAAAAAAAAAAGUGUCUAUAUUACUUUUGCAAUUAAAAAAAAAAGGUGGCUGGGCACGGUGGCUCAUGCCUAUACUCCCAGCACUUUGGGAGGCCAAGGCGGGCAGAUCACUUGAGAUUAGGGCAACAUGACAAAACCCUGUCUCUACUAAAAAUACAAAAAUUAACCAGGUGUGGUGGCAUACGCCUGUAAUCCCAGCUGCUCCAAAGGCUGAGGCAUGACAAUCACUUGAACCCAGGAGGUGGAG
rnacentral:lncRNA from 1 species